rnacentral:ribozyme from 13 species
UUUUUUUCUUUUUCUUUUUCUUUUCUCUUCAAGAAAAGUUUUUCUCGAAGAUAGUUCCUCUGUGGCUGUGGAGGAAAUACUCAACAAAAAAAAAAGAUAAAAGAAUGAAAAAGGGUUUAAUUCUUUCAUCUU